rnacentral:rRNA from 1 species
GAUGAACGCUAGCGGCAGGCUUAAUACAUGCAAGUCGAGGGGCAGCAGGGGUGUAGCAAUACACUCGCUGGCGACCGGCAAACGGGUGCGGAGCACGUACGCAACCUACCCAUAACUGAGGAAUAGCCCGGGGAAACCCGGAUUAAUACUUCGUAACAUAAUGAUGUGGCAUCACAUUAUUAUUAUAGCUCCGGCGGUUUUGGAUGGGCGUGCGCCUGAUAGGUAGUUGGCGGGGUAACGGCCCACCAAGCCUACGAUCAGUAACUGGUGUGAGAGCACGACCAGUCACACGGGCACUGAGACACGGGCCCGACUCCUACGGGAGGCAGCAGUAAGGAAUAUUGGUCAAUGGACGCAAGUCUGAACCAGCCAUGCCGCGUGAAGGAUGAAGGUCCUCUGGAUU